rnacentral:rRNA from 1 species
CGGACGGGUGAGUAACACGUGAGCAACCUGCCUUUCAGAGGGGGAUAACGUUUGGAAACGAACGCUAAUACCGCAUAAUGUAUCGAUGGGACAUCCUGUUGAUACCAAAGGAGCAAUCCGCUGAGAGAUGGGCUCGCGGCCGAUUAGGUAGUUGGUGGGGUAACGGCCCACCAAGCCGACGAUCGGUAGCCGGACUGAGAGGUUGAACGGCCACAUUGGGACUGAGACACGGCCCAG